UACGUAGGGGGCAAGCGUUGUCCGGAUUUAUUGGGCGUAAAGAGCGUGUAGGCGGCCUUACAGGUCAGCUGUGCAAACUCGAGGCUCAACCUCGAGACGUCGGUUGAAACCGUAAGGCUAGAGUCCGGAAGAGGAGAGUGGAAUUCCCGGUGUAGUGGUGAAAUGCGUAGAUAUCUGGAAGAACACCAAAGGCGAAGGCAGUGUCCUGGGUGGUCGCUGACGCUGAGAGGCGAAAGCCAGGGGAGCGAACGGG
rnacentral:rRNA from 1 species